CUAGCCCCUAUACCUACCACUUAGUCACUUAUGGGCAUUUGAAACGAUCAGAUAGGUUAAAGAAAUAUAGUAAUUGCUUCACCUUGCCUUCUGAUAGUCUGGAUGCAAUUGUGGCCAUAUUGCUUAUACCUAUUCAAUCAUUACUGAUUCACAGAAGUGUUUAGGCCAGGGUGUAGGAUUUAGGGGUCAAUUUGGAUUUAGGAAUCAAAUGUAGUUCAGGGGCUUACAGCUGUCCUUAAUUAGCCAAUGACGUUAGAAGGGUCUGGGAUUUGUUUAAAAGGAGCAACCAAAAAGCCUGCCAGAUACAGCAAAAGAGAUAUCAUACUAGGGCUUAUACCGGCCAUUAGUACUGAUUACUGGGGAGGUUUUGAGGUGCAAAAUGGCCGUGAUGAUUGGAAUCGCUUUCAGAGUUUCUUGGCUUUGUUGCCUGCUAAUUGGAGGGAUAACCUGUUCUACAUCAAGUGAUGGGUAUCCUGCACUAGGUUCUGAUGCAGCAUGGCUCUAUGCCGGCUCACUUAGGUCUAAAGGAUAUGGUAAUUACAACUCUCCAACAGCUCAAAUGCAAGCGCAGCUGACCGAAGAGCAACAGAAGCAUCCGGCCGUCAUCCUGCAAAAGCAACUGGUCCACAUGCCCCAGGCACCUCAGAAAAUGUGGUAUCCAGCUCAAAUGCCCCAGCAGGAAAAGCAACCGGCCGCCAUGACCCAACAGCAGACUCUACCGGACAGUUAUCCUAAGCAGCCUCAAGCAGUGUUGUAUCCAGCUCAAAUGCCCCAGAAGCAACCAGCUACUGAACUUCAGCAUCAGAAGGAACAGGCCUCCAUACCCCAGCUACCUCAGCAAGUGUGGUAUCCAGUACAAAUUCCCCAGCAGCAGAAGGAACUGACCACCAUGCCCCAGAAGCAACUGGCUCCAAUUCCUAUACUGCAGAAACAACCAACCGCUAUGCCCCAGCAAGCAUGGUAUCCAGCUCAAAUGCAGCAGAAGCAACCAGCCCCAAUGCCUCCACUGCAGAAGCAACCGGCCACCAUGCCCCAGAUGCCUCACGAUGUGUGGUAUCCAGCUAAAAUGGUCCAGAAGCAACAAGCCGCUGCAACUCGGCGGCAUAAGGAACUUAACGCCAUAACUACGCAAGAGUGGCAUCCAGCUCAAUUUCCCCAGCAGCAGAAGCAACCAGCCCUAAUGCCUUUACCGCGGAAGGAACUUACCGCCAUACCUCAACAAGUGUGGUAUCCAGCUCAAAAGCCCCAGAUGCAGAAGCAACCGGCCGCAGAACUUCAGCAGCAAAUUGAACCGACCUCCAUUCCUCAGCCACCUCAGCAAGUGUGGCAACCAGAUCAAUUUCCCCAGGAGCAGAAGCAACCAGCCCCUAUGCGUGUAGCACAGAAGGAACUGACUGCCAUACCCCAACUGUGGCAAACGGCUCAAAUACCGCAGAAGCAACCGGCUGCUGAACCACAGCACAAUGAACCGGCCACCAUGCCCCAGCAAGAGUGGCAUCCACCUCAAAUGCUGCAGACGCAACCAAGCUCCAUGCCCCAGCAAGUGUGGUGUCCAGCUCACAUUCCCCAGCAGCAGAAACAACUGGCCACCAUGCUGCAGAAGCAACCAGCCCCAAUGCCUCAACCGCAGAAGCAACUGGCCACCAUGCCCCCGCAAGUGUGGCAUCCAGCUCAAAUGCCUCAGCAGCAAAAGCAACCAGCUACUGAACCUCAGCAGCAAAUUGAACCGACCGCCAUGCCCCAGCCACCUCAGCAAGUGUGGCAUUCAGAUCAAUUUCCCCAGGAGCAGAAGCAACCAGCCCCUAUGCAUCUAGCGCAGAAGGAACUGACUGCCAUACCCCAACAACUGUGGCAAAUGGCUCAAAUGCCCCAGCAGCAUAAGCAACCGUCUACCAUGCUUCAGCAAGUGUGGCAUCUGGCGCAGAAGCAACAGGCCCCUAUGCCCCAGCAGACUCACGAUGUGUGGUAUCCAGCUAAAAUGGUCCAGAAGAUACAAGCCGCUGCAACUCGGAGGCAGAAGGAACUGACCGCCAUAACUAAGCAAGAGUGGCAUCCAGCUCAAUUUCCCCAGCAGCAGAAGCAACCGGCCUCCACGCCUCUACCGCAGGAGCAACUGACUGCCGUAUCCCAGCAAGUGUGGUAUCCAGCUCAAAUGCCUCAGAAGCAUCUGGCCUCCAUGCCGCAGAAGCAACCGACCACCAUUCCACAGCAACCAGUGUAUCCAGCUCAAAAGCCCCAGCUGCAGAAGCAACCGGCCGCUGAACCUCAGCAGCAAAUUGAACCGACCUCCAUUCCCGAGCAAGUGUGGCAUCCAGCUCAAUUUCCCCAGCAGCAGAAGCAACCGGCCUCCAUGCCUCUACCGCAGGAGCAACCGACUGCCGUAUCCCAGCAAGUGUGGUAUCCAGCUCAAAUGUCCCAGCAGCAACUGGCCUCCAUGCCGCUACCGCAGAAGCAACUGACCAACAUGCCUCAGCAAGAGUGGCAACCAGCUCAAAUACCGCAGAAGCAAUCGGCUGCUGAACCACAGCAGAACGAACCGACCACCAUUCCCCAGCAACCAGUGUAUCCAGCUCAAAAGCCCCAGCUGCAGAAGCAACCGGCCACCAUACCCCAGCAAGUGAGGUAUCCAGCGCAAAUGUCCCAGCAGCGGAAGCAACACACUGCCAUGCCACAGCAGCAACUGACCCCCAUGCCUCAGCUAUUAUGGCAUGUAGCUCAAAUGCCCCAGAAGCAACUGGCCCCAAUGUCUCAGCAGAAGCACUACGAAAGCACUGAAGAUUGUGCCUGUGGUAGCUCUCAGGCCAGCAUCGUUGAACAGUUGGGUGUCAUCCCAAUCUAUUCCUACAGUUCCAAAUCGCACUACGAGAGUGGCAGAACUGUCUUCUCCCAAACCCGCUACACUCCUAGGGAGGCAAUGCCUGUUGACAGUGGAAAUUCUCCCAAGGACAGUUAUGUUGUCAUUGGUGCACCAAGCAUAUAUCCACCAGUAGUGAAGGAUUCUGCAAGGAAAAUGUAAUGGAUUCAUCCUCUAGAAGCUCUAAUGGAAGUUGCUGGUGCUCUUGCUACUCUAGCGUGAUGGAAUCAAUAAACAAUUUUACUUGUCUCUUUGAAAUAAUGGUUCUCGUGUCCAUUGCUUGCUAAUUGAGAACAGGUGGUGUGCAUUCUGUAGUAAAAAUGACUGCUGUUAAGUUAAUUCUUUGGCCUUCUAAUCUUGAACUUAUAUGGUGAUUGCAUCAACUUUCAUAGUAUUACCACGACGACUGCAAAACAGUUUCUUUCAAUCACCCAUGUGGGUAUAACCAAUGAGAUGGGAGAGGGAAGACUUUCAGUGAGA
rnacentral:lncRNA from 1 species